CCUGCUUGAAAAUCAUCUCCGGUGCUUCCAUGAUCUGAGGUGAGAUACCUGGGCCUACAGGAAAGUGGCACGCUAUGCUUAUCACAUGCAGUUCUGACAAUGUGAUAAAACCCAUGUGUCCACAGUG